CCUACGGGGGGCUGCAGUGGGGAAUAUUGGACAAUGGGGGAAACCCUGAUCCAGCAAUGCCGCGUGAAUGAAGAAGGCCUUAGGGUUGUAAAGUUCUUUCACCUGUGAAGAUAAUGACGGUAGCAGGAGAAGAAGCCCCGGCUAACUCCGUGCCAGCAGCCGCGGUAAGACGGAGGGGGCUAGCGUUGUUCGGAAUGACUGGGCGUAAAGGGCGCGUAGGCGGUUUUUUAAGUGAGGCGUGAAAGCCCUGGGCUUAACCCAGGAGGUGCGCUUCAUACUGAAAAGCUUGAGUGCGAGAGAGGAAAGUGGAAUUCCUAGUGUAGAGGUGAAAUUCGUAGAUAUUAGGAAGAACACCAGUGGCGAAGGCGACUUUCUGGCUCGUAACUGACGCUGAGGCGCGAAAGCGUGGGGAGCAAACAGGAUUAGAUACCCUAGUAGUC
rnacentral:rRNA from 1 species